GAAAUCAGUGAUGCACAGAUGAUAAGCAAGGGAGAUUUCAGGCCGUAGACCAAAUGCUGUUUUGCUGUCUGAAGAGAUCUCAGCAAAGGGGCAGUAGUUAAAGAGGAACGAUUACAUUGUAAAAAGCCAUAAAACCUUCCAGGAUUCAGAGUCUCAGGGGGCCAGCCUGUUGGAGGAAGCAGGAAUCAAUAGUCCUAACGAGGAGCAGCUCUGAGCGCAGUCUAUGAUGAGGCUGGUUUUUUGUUAUGUUUCAUACAGCUGUACUGCUCCCCUUGGGACCAAUCCUCACCUCAGACACUGUCAUUCAGUCUCCUAAGAUGCAAUUUCCCAGUAUCUACCA
ensembl:lncRNA